AUUGAACGCUGGCGGCAGGCCUAACACAUGCAAGUCGAACGAGUGGCGGACGGGUGAGUAAUGUCUGGGAAACUGCCUGAUGGAGGGGGAUAACUACUGGAAACGGUAGCUAAUACAGCAUACCAUCGGAAGCACCCAGAUGGGAUUAGCUAGUAGGUGGGGUAAAGGCUCACCUAGGCGACGAUCCCUAGCUGGUCUGAGAGGAUGACCAGCCACACUGGAACUGAGACACGGUCCAGACUCCUACGGGAGGCAGCAGUGGGGAAUAUUGCACAAUGGGCGCAAGCCUGAUGCAGCCAUGCCGCGUGUAUGAAGAAGGCCUUCGGGUUGUAAAGUACUUUCAGCGGGGAGGCGUUACCCGCAGAAGAAGCACCGGCUAACUCCGUGCCAGCAGCCGCGGUAAUUC
rnacentral:rRNA from 1 species